rnacentral:rRNA from 1 species
UACGUAGGGUGCAAGCGUUGUCCGGAUUUAUUGGGCGUAAAGAGCGUGUAGGCGGCUAUGCAGGUCCGCUGUGAAAACUCGAGGCUCAACCUCGAGACGUCGGUGGAAACCGCAUGGCUAGAGUCCGGAAGAGGAGAGUGGAAUUCCCGGUGUAGCGGUGAAAUGCGCAGAUAUCGGGAAGAACACCCGUGGCGAAGGCGGCUCUCUGGGACGGUACUGACGCUGAGGAGCGAAAGCGUGGGGAGCGAACAGG